UAACGCGUGAGGAACCUGCCUCAAAGAGGGGGACAACAGUUGGAAACGACUGCUAAUACCGCAUAAGCCCACGGCUCGGCAUCGAGCAGAGGGAAAAGGAGCAAUCCGCUUUGAGAUGGCCUCGCGUCCGAUUAGCUAGUUGGUGAGGUAACGGCCCACCAAGGCGACGAUCGGUAGCCGGACUGAGAGGUUGAACGGCCACAUUGGGACUGAGACACGGCCCAGACUCCUACGGGAGGCAGCAGUGGGGAAUAUUGCACAAUGGGGGAAACCCUGAUGCAGCGACGCCGCGUGGAGGAAGAAGGUCUUCGGAUUGUAAACUCCUGUUGUUGAGGAAGAUAAUGACGGUACUCAACAAGGAAGUGACGGCUAACUACGUGCCAGCAGCCGCGGUAAAACGUAGGUCACAAGCGUUGUCCGGAAUUACUGGGUGUAAAGGGAGCGCAGGCGGGAGAACAAGUUGGAAGUGAAAUCCAUGGGCUCAACCCAUGAACUGCUUUCAAAACUGUUUUUCUUGAGUAGUGCAGAGGUAGGCGGAAUUCCCGGUGUAGCGGUGGAAUGCGUAGAUAUCGGGAGGAACACCAGUGGCGAAGGCGGCCUACUGGGCACCAACUGACGCUGAGGCUCGAAAGUGUGGGUAGCAAACAGGAUUAGAUACCCUGGUAGUCCACACCGUAAACGAUGAUUACUAGGUGU
rnacentral:rRNA from 1 species